rnacentral:lncRNA from 1 species
CUACCCUGAAGGGCUGUUUGGAGGUUACAGGGCCUAGUAGAUAUAAAAGUCCUUCGGAAAUUGGAAAAUGUUGUCCCUAUAGAAGACAAUACUUUGAUGACAGUAGAGCUCCCCAGCUAAGGGGCUCUCAGGCCUGACACAUCAAAGGAGAGGAGAGCAGGGCAGGAUGAAUCGAUAUCCCGGAACACUCAUUCGGGUUCCAUUCAACCAGCAGUCUUUCCCUCCCUGGCCACACAGCCUCUCCGAGACAUGCAAUCCUUAGUAAGCCACUUCACUUCUUCAAGCAUUACCACCCCUCACCAAUCUAAUGGACACAGUGAUAUCUACUUCUCCCAGCAUGUGAACUUGUGGCCAAGACCAUUCACAAAAUGCACACGUGAUUUGAAAGAAAGAAGCUCAGCACACAUGGCAUGCUAAAAUAUUAUCCCUGCCCCGUCCUUCCCGGUGUAUGAACUAGGUGAACUCAGGCAAGGCAUAUGACCACUCUGAGCCUCAGUGUCCUCUUCUAUAAAUGGAUAUUAAAGUACUUAAUCCCCGGGCCCACAUGAAAUGAAUAACCUAAUAAAGAAAGUACCCAGCACCAUCCCUGGUCCAUGGCAGCUUCACAAGUGGUGAUCUCAUUUCUCCCCUCUCAUUCCUGUCCCCUACUCUGCCCCCAAGGUGGUUUCAACCCUUACGUUGCUGCCCCAGACCCUUGGUAAACUACAAAGCAACCUGAAAAGCUUCUUCAAUCUCCUUUAUCCAGGGUUUAAUUAUGCCUUUCCUUGAUUAGGAAAAGCUAUGUCUAGUACCUGUAUACUCCUCUUGCUCCAGUAAAAAGGCCAGAACUAGUCAGCCAUGGCCAAGAACAACUGCACAGGGAUAUUGACACACCAUUUCCUGCUGGGAAACCAUCCUGUGCAUCGUCAGGUGAAGAAAACGAGGCUCAGAGAAGCUCAGGGAUUUGCCACAGGCUGCACUUCUUGACCACAUUCAAACCAGACCUCAAACCAGGUCCUCAGAUGCUGAAUUUGUCUUUCAAGCAGAAGGAUUUCACUAAGAAACCAUGGUUUCCUCUUUAUCGUAUUAACCCUGGCUGCACAGGAGAGGAGGCAAUACCAAACCAUGUGUGCUUAUUUCCCAGGGCCGCUGGAACAAAGCACCACAAACCCAGGGGCUUGGAACAGCGGAGAUUUAUUCUGUUCUCCCAAUUCUAAGGAUAAAUGAGGGUUUGAAUGUUCUCCCAGUCCUAAAGGAUAAAAGUCCUUGAGGUGUCAUCUGGCCAUGCUCCCUCUUGAAGCCUCCGGGAGAGGAUCCUUCCUGGUCUCCGCCAGCUCCUGGCAGCCCCAGGGAUUCCUUGGCUUGUCACAGCCCCACUCCAAUCUCUGCCUCUGUCUUCCCUUUCUGUUACCAUGUACAAAUUUCCCUCCUCUAAUAAAGACACCAGCCAUAUUGCAGUAGGGGUCCACGUGCUCCAAUGUAACCCCAACUUAGCUGAUGACAUCUUCAAUGACUCUAUGGCCCUAUUUCCAAAUAAAGCCACAUUCUGAAGUAGUGAGGGUUAGGAUGUCGACAAUAAUUCUGGGAGACAUAGUUUUUUGUUUGUUUUUUUGAGACAGAGUCUCACUCUGUCGCCUAGGGUGGAGUGCAGUAGGGCUAUCUCAGCUCACUGCAACCUCUGCCUCCCAGGUUCAAGAGAUUCUCCUGCCUCAGCCUCCCCAGUAGCUGGGACUACAGGUGUGCACCACCACACAGGCUAAUUUUUGUGUUUUUAGCAGAGACGGGGUCUCAACAUGUUGGCCAGGCUGGUCUCAAACUCCUGAACUCAAGUAAUCUGCCCCCAUCAGCCUCCCAAAGCUCUAGGAUUACAGGUGUGAGCCACCACUCCUGGCCUGGGGGACGUAAUUCAAUCUGUGACAACACACCAAAUGGAAAAAUCUUGGUUAUGAGAGCUGGGCAAGAUUCAAUGAAUCCUGGCCUUCUUCUCCCACUGCAAGGACUAUGGCUGCCUGUCUGUUGCAGGGCCUUCUGGCUCAGGACUGCAGAGCAUGCACAGGAGAGAGCACUGGGCAGGGAGUCUGCAGCAGCAAUGGGACCAGAGCCAUCCUGUUGCUAGCUGCUUUUGAAAACUUCAUUGGCAAAUUACCUUUUCAUCCAAGGUUUUAUGAGGUUUUCUUUUCCUCGGAAUCCAAAUGAUGAUAUUCCUUUGGUUCAGAAAAUAUUUCCUGAGCAAUUGCUGUGUGUUAGCUCCUAUACAGAGCACUGGACAUACAGCAAUGGAUAAAAUGCUGUCUGCUCCCACUCCCACUCGGAGCUCAGACUCCAGAGGCACAAGCAUUUGAGUGAGUAGAUAAUUAAACCACUGAGAGAUAAAUGCUGCAAUAAAAGGGUGUUCUGAAUGCCACAGAGUACAGAACAGCAACAAGCUGAUCUCUGAGUUAUCGUCAUCACUCACAUUACCAAGCUCGAUCUGAGCCAAAAUGGAUAUAUUGCCUCCAGCGAAUAUGCACAAAUCUGGGUUUCUUUUGACAUUAACAGGUGGCUUGCUGCAGAAGCACACGGUACUCUAGAUAGGUAAUGAGGCUCAAAAGCUCACUACUAGCGACUUCAGCACUGCACACUAUGGAGCCAGAGAAGAAACGGGCAAGUGCAGGCCAAGCAGCCCACAAUAUCCCAGUGCAACAUGGCCUUAUGGUACCUACUUUCCUCUUGGUCACAGCAGGGCCUUAUACCACUGGAAAAUUGAAAGCCCUUAAAAUGCUUCUAUCAUAUAUAGCAAACAACCCCCAGGGCACAAGUGCUGCAGCGUUCAGGGCCCUGGAGGCAACUGCAUGAAUGGAGCCUCAGGUUUGAGAUUCCAAGUCCUCCCGUGUAGAUGGGCUGUCUAUAGCAGAGCCCUGGCAAUGCCACCCUGGUGACAGCUGCGGGGACGGCCAUGUGAGGCAGCCCAUCCUAUAGGCGUUUUUAUCGGAGAUGACAGCUUCCCUACUGCACAGCCCACAUCCCACGGGAGGCAAGGAGCAGCUGGUCAUCCACAAAAGAACUUUGAUGUCGAUAUCAAUUCUCUAGACCAUGAACAGUCAGUUCACACGCAAAAAAAAAAAAAAAAAAAAAAAGGGAAGCAAAGAGUCAAUAAGUGCAUGAAAAAAUGUUCAGGCUAUCUCAUACUUAAGGAAAUGCAAAUUAAAACAACAACAGGUUUUCCGAUUUGUGUUUAUUAAAGUAACUCUAUAUACAUGUAUAUACUUGCCUGUGCUCAACUCAGGAAAGAUGCAAUAAAAUAAGUGGUGCCUGGAAAAGAAAUUUGACAAUAUAUACCACCACCCCCUAAAAAUGCACAAAAUUUGUUCUAUUAAGCUAUAUUAAGUAAAUAAUCUAAAUAUGUUUUAUACAGAAAGGUGGCUGUCCUAGAGCUACUUACAAUAAAACAAAACAGGAAACAACAUAAUUGUCCAAAACAGGGAAAAGAUUAAAUAAUGGUACAUCGAUAAAGUAAAAUAUUAUGAUGUCAUUAAAAACUACAUUUUUUAGACAAUUUAAUAAAUGUGAAAAUGUUUAUUAAAAUAGAAAAGGUAGGCUGGGCUCUGUGGCUCAUGCCUGUAAUCCCAGUAUUUUGGGAGGCCGAAGUGGGUAGAUUACUUGGGGCCAGGAGUUCAAGACCAGCCUGGCCAAUAAGGCAAAACUGUCUUUACUAAAACUGUCUCUACUAAAAAUACAAAAAUUAGCCAGGCAUGGUGGUACAUUUCUGUAAUCCCAGCUACUUAGGAGGCUGAGGAACGAGAAUCAUUUGAACCGGGAGGCAGAGGUUGCAGUAUGCCGAGAUUGCACUCCAGCCUGGGUGACAGAGCCAGACCCUGUCUAAAACAAAAAGGGCAAAAGAAUUACACAAAUUAUAUUUACCAUUUGAUACUUACCAUGUGAAUAUGUGUUUUUAAAAGAUUGGAAAAAUAUACUAAAACAGUAAUAGUGACUGCUUCUGUAAGUGGGAUUAUAGAUUAGAUGAGAAAUGUUUCUUCUUUGUAAUUUCCAACUAUUCUUCAAUAACUAUAGACUUUUGCGCUAGUUUGAAAAAUGUUUAUAGUAAUUGAACUUGUUUUAAAAAUAUAUGGGUUUGUUUACAUGUUUCAUUACUCUGACAGCACUCAGCUAUUGCCCAACAAGGAAUAUUAAUGUAGGUGAAAGAGAUAGUGAUGACUUCUUCAAAAUUUUCACUCAAUACAUUUGAUCUUUGUGUUAAAUUGUUGGUUGUCAGUCGGAUGCAGUAUCUCACAUCUGUAAUCCCAGGACUUUGGGAGGCUAAGGUAGGAAAAUCACUUGAGCUCAGGAAUUCAAAACCAGCCUAGGUGAUAUAGCGAGACAUCGUCUCUAAAAGAAAUCAAAAAAAUUAGCCAGAUACGGAGGCAUGCACCUGUGGUCCCAACUACUUGCAAAGCUGAGGGUGGGAGUAUGGCUCAAGCCUGGGAAGUCAAAGCUUCAGUGAGCUGUGAUUGCACCAUUGCACUCCAGCCUAGGCAACAGAGGAAGAUCCCGUCUCAAAACAAAACAAAAAACAAAACAAAAAAAGACUGGUUGUUGUUGUACUAUUUCCUAAAUAUUUUGCUGCAUCUGGGUCAACUGAAAUACUGCUAACUUUUCGAGGCCCUGCUCAUGUUUUAUCUCUUACUGAAAGACUCCACAAAAAUUCAGUCCACAGGAACUUCCUCCCCUCCUUGGAAAUUUUUUGAGCGUGACAUACUGUAUAAUCUAAUGAGCAGUAAAUAUA